rnacentral:rRNA from 1 species
UACGUAGGGUGCGAGCGUUAAUCGGAAUUACUGGGCGUAAAGCGUGCGUAGGCGGUUCGUUAAGUUCGUUGUGAAAGCCCCGGGCUCAACCUGGGAACUGCAAUGGAAACUGGCGGGCUUGAGUGUGGCAGAGGGGGGUGGAAUUCCACGUGUAGCAGUGAAAUGCGUAGAUAUGUGGAGGAACACCGAUGGCGAAGGCAGCCCCCUGGGUUAACACUGACGCUCAUGCACGAAAGCGUGGGGAGCAAACAGG